rnacentral:misc_RNA from 1 species
AAGAGUUAGGGUCUUCCAGGCCCGACCUCCCAACCCUAUGUUUAUUAAACCUCUGUUGCUUCGGCGGACCCGUCUCACGACCGCCGGAGGACCGCUGAAAGGCGUCCUCUGGCCAGCGUCCGUCGAUAGCCAACCCCCAAACUCUGAAUAAAUCAUGUCAUAUGUCUAAGUUUAUGAUUAAAUAAAGCA